rnacentral:rRNA from 1 species
AGAGUUUGAUCCUGGCUCAGACUGAACGCUGGCGGCGUGGUUAAAGCAUGCAAGUCGAACGGGCCCGCAAGGGUCAGUGGCGAAAGGGUGAGUAAUGCGAUCCAACGUACCCCGAGGUGAGGGAUAGGCAUGGGAAACUGUGCGUAAUACCUCAUGAUCUCUUCGGAGCAAAGAUUUAUCGCCUUGGGAGCGGGGAUCGUCCUAUCAGGUAGUUGGCGGGGUAAAGGCCCACCAAGCCGAAGACGGGUAGCAGGUGUGAGAGCACGGCCUGCCACAUCGGGACUGAGACACUGCCCGGACUCCUACGGGAGGCUGCAGCGACGAAUCUUCCGCAAUGGGCGCAAGCCUGACGGAGCGACGCCGCGUGUGGGAUGAAGCGUCUCUGACGUGUAAACCACUGUCAGGGGUUUGAAACACUGAUCAACCCCAAAGGAAGGGUCGGCUAACUCUGUGCCAGCAGCCGCGGUAAGACAGAGGACCCGAGCGUUAGUCGGAAUUACUGGGCUUAAAGGGUGCGUAGGCGGACCUGCAAGUGUCCCGUGAAAUCCCACUGCUCAACGGUGGAACUGCGGGACAUACUGCUGGUCUCGAGGAAGGUAGAGGCGGGCAGAACGAUAGGUGGAGCGGUGGAAUGCGUAGAGAUCUAUCGGAAUGCCAAAGGUGAAGACAGCCCGCUGGGCCUUUCCUGACGCUGAGGCACGAAAGCGUGGGGAGCAAACAGGAUUAGAUACCCUGGUAGUCC